CCUGAAGAGGAGCAGACUGGGGAAUGAAGGAGCGCCCGCAGAGAUGUAGAGGAAGCUCAAGACAGUAAAGCCUUGUGUCCUUGAGCGCCAGGAGUUGACCUGCUGUCUCAAUAUCCUUGGGAUUGAGCCUAUGGCAGUCUUUGUUCUCCUUUUCAAAAAGCCGGCUCUGUCAGUGUCUUUUUCCACCCUGAAGAAAUUUAAGGGCCUUUGUUAUUCAUAACUUUGCCUCAUAAGGAGAUAAGACCACAGGCAACUUUUUCUUUCUUCACAAGUAACCAGCUUCUCUCUAUUUUUCAUUUCUUUCAGUCUUGUGUGUACGUUGUUGUUCUCCUGCAUGUUGCCGCCCUGUCAUGUUUAGCGGGGAGGGAGCCCUGCCAUGCAUGCCGCCCCCACUUGCCUCCUUCAGUUGACUUUCUCUCUGCUGGUCUAGUCAGAAGCCAACUGUUAUACAGCAAGCAGCCAUCCUGGAACAAUGAGACAGGAAGGGCCCACCUCAACAGAAUCCUGUAGCCUGUCCUCUAGUGGAAGCGGCAACGAGCAGACAAAACCACCUAUAUUGCCUGAAGAAGAGGACUAAUUUAAUUAAUCUGCAGCCCCUGGAUUGAUUGUGAAAUCUGUUUGAAGAUGGAAGUGUAGACUAGUAAAAUGCUUCCUUUGAACUUGAAGCUGAGUCUUUGCUGGGACUGUCAUGAGCACUUCCGAACAUCAAUUUGGAAGAAACAUCCUUCACUUUACUAUUGCAUCUACUGUUACUUAUGCAGAUUCAAUGGCUUCAAUUCUUAAAUUGUUCGAUCUAAAUGGGCAGACUUGAUAAUAAGUAACUAAAAGAAUUGGUAAGGUUUCUUCCAGCUGAAAGAUUCUAUGAUUCUAGAAUUCUUUCAUCUACACAAUUAUGCUGGGGAUUUACUUCCAGUAUGCAUUCAGUUCAUUAGACAAAUAUUAACAGAGCUCCUCUUAUGUGCUAUACUAUGUACCGGGAUACAGUGGUAGGCAGUGAUGAAUAAGAGAUACCAUCCCUCAUGGUGUUUAUAAUGUAGCUGGGGAGAUAGACAUUAAGCAAUUAAAUCAAAAUAAG
rnacentral:lncRNA from 1 species